rnacentral:lncRNA from 1 species
GGGUAGGAGCAGCAUUCGCAGAGGACUUGGCAUGCAAAGGAAGAAAAGUGGAGCUCCUGGCAGGACGCCAGCUGUUCUCCCUCUCACUGACUUGCCCUCUCAGUUUGCCGCGGAGAAAAGAACGUGCUUCCCCUACAGUCUACUAGCGUAAGAUCUCAUAUUUUGGACACUCUUUCACUCUUUUCUAUCUCAUUUUGUUAGAUUUUGUUGAAUUUAGUAAAUUACUGUUCCUCCUCAGAUCGUUGCUUUUUUUUUUUAGACUCAUCUGCUAUCUCCCUACCCUUCCCCCUCUCCUGGAGUGCACAGCCUGACUCAUUAGUCACGGGCCAGGGCCGGAUGUGCUGCAAAAGGUGGGGUAGAUUUUUUUUUUUUUCUCCCCUCCUCUCUCUUUUGUCUCCUUCUGGGCUUGUGCCCCUGUCAUGGACUCAGAUCCAGAGAUAACUCCAUGACGUAUUUAUUUAUGUUAAUAUAAAUUAAUAUUGUAUACAAAUAUAUAUGUUUUCCUUGUGGUAAUGCUGAUGGUUUUGACCCCCCCCCCCUUAGUUUUAUAGAAUAGCAAGUUUUCAUAAUCUGAUGAGUAGAAAUGGAAAACAAAGGGAAAGAAAGUCGUUGGACAGUCAAACAAUUGAUGGAGAAUGGAAAUUAAGAUUUAACUGUGCAGAAGCAACAUGAGGAGAAAAUUAAGCUUUGGGAUGUUAAGCUUUGUUAAGCUUUGGGAUGAGAUGUCUAGGCAGUUUCUUGAGGUUUUACAAGUUUUAACUUUUAUUUAAAGGUUGUUUUUGUUUGUUGUUUUUUAAAUAAGCUGAAAAAAUGGCUUCUUGUUUUUAUAAAAACUAUGAAGUUUUCCUCUGCUCUCAAUUAGAAGACUUGGGGAGCUACAGGAGAGAAGACAGGAGCUUUAGCAGGGUCUGUGGUAAUAGGACUAGGGGAAGUGAUCUCAAACUUGAAGAGGAUACAUUUAGGUUGGAUACAAAAAAAAAAAAAAAAAAAAAAAAAAAAGUCUUUUACAGUGAGGGUGUUGAGGCAUUGGAACAGGAUGUCCAGAGAUGUGAUUGAUGCCCUGUCCCUGGAGACUUUCAAGGCAAGGCACUAAUAACAGCAACACUGAAGACAUAUCUCUUAAAUGUUUCCAUAAAUGACUUUGAGGACUCAAAGGCAUGCCAAGCAAGUCUGAAGAUAACAUUAAAUUGGGAAAAGCACCUAGGAUGAGGAAACUCUAGAUGUAUUCAUAGACUGGAGAAUGAGGCAGGAGGGGAGUCCCAUGGCAAAGGAUCUGGGGGUUCUGGUUGGUGGCAAGAUGAAUAUGAGUCAGUAGUGUGCGCUGGUAGCCAAAAAGGCAAAUCAUACCUCAUGAUGUAUCAGGCAUAUAUCUGCUAGCAGCUCAAGGAUUGUUUCACUCUGCUGUGAGCUGGUGGGACUCCACCUUCAGCAUUAUGCACAGUUUUGUCUGCCACUAUAAGAGAAUAAAGUAUGUAUCAUAUAUUAACAAUUAGAAAGCCUCCAAAGAAGGGCUACAAAAAUGGUGAAGGAUCUGGACAGCAUGAUAAAUGAAAAGUGGCUGAGUUCCCUUUGUUUGUUCAAACCAGAGAAGACAAGAUUGAGGGAAGUGACCUGCAGCUUUCUCAUGAGAGGAGCAGGGAGGAAGAAGCUGAUUCCUCCUUUCUGAUGACAGCAAUAGGACCUCAGGAAAUGUCAUGAAGCUGUGUCAAAAGAGGUUCAAAAUAAAUUUUAGGAAAAGGUUCUUCGCUAAGGUAGCAGUGUCCCACUGGAAUAACUGGCAAUAGUUAUGGUCCCAAACCUACUGGAGUUCAAGGAACAUAUGGACAGUGCUCUUAGACAUACAGUUUGAAUUUUAGGUAGUUUUUUUUUUUUUUGCAAAGCCUAGAAUUUAACUCUGUGAUCCUUGUGAUUGCUUCCAACACAGAAUAUGAUAUUAUUCAAUAAUUCUUUUUGAUAUCGUUGGUCCUUGAAAGCAGAGAAACAGCUUCUGAACAGUUGUGAUACCAGGCAAAGCAUCAUUAAGAAUAACAGUAAUUAUAUAUAGAAAAGUGUUGACUCACCCAACUGGUUUUAAGGCUCUCUGACUAUAGAACACCACUUCACAGGAAAAAAAAAAAAAAAAAAAAAAAAAAAAAAAAAAAAGCCUUCACCCAGGAGACUUUUUCCAUUUAGAAGUUAGCCCUUAAAUAAUCAUGUGAGAAGCACGGGUUAAUUGCUUGCACCCGUGCUUCCUGGGCCAGUUAUCCACUUCACAGGGUGCUCAAUCAUCAUUUCAGAUCAUGACAUAACAGUACACCUGCAGAUAUUAACAACCCAAAUUAUAAUAAAAGACAAAAACAAACAAACAAACAAAACAGCAAAUAAGUCAGCUGAACAAAAACACAGUCUAGGUGUUUGGACAUUCAAUUGAUUUUUUGAUUUUAGGAUUUGUGAACAUGGUAUGGAGAAUUCAAAUAUCCUAACGGCAUAUUUUGAUUAAAAAAAAAAAACAAAAAAAAAAACCUUGCUAAUAAUUAUGUUAUCUGUUUGUAUCCACAUUAUUUCCUAAAUAAUUUCCAAGGUCACUUUUGGUUUCAGACUAAUUCUAGCACCUGAUCUUGUUGAGAAAUUUAUACUUCCAAAACUUACAUUAAACAUAGUAUCUGCAUUAUUUUUAUAUACUGGUACUCAUCUUGAACUCAGCCUGUUAGUACUUCUCACAUAUUAAGCUUAUUGUGAUGCCAGAAUGCUUCUGAUGAGAAUGUAUGUUCGUUCGCUGUUGAACUGUGUAAAGGUAAACUUUGAAUUCCAGUACAUAUUAAAUGUCCCUGAGUGUCUCUUAAGAUAUUCAUUAGCAUUUCAUUGCUAAUCUCAAGCCUUCCCAAAAUCAAAUAAUAGUCUGAUCUGCUACUUCGCACUUAAGGUAAUUUUGGAUGCUUCUGUACACAUGUGAAAAAUGUCAUGAACACUGAACUUUCUAUUACAGCAAAUGAAUUCCCUUUAGACAGUUUGUACUACCUGAAAAAUAUAUUCAGUAUUUCAAACAUCAGAACCUACUCAUUUUGAAUAAUCUAGUCUUUUCACAUUAGCCAACCUUGUGUCAUCCCAUAAGUACUUGCAAUUUUCAGUUUUCUCCUCCAUACUCCUGCAGGGUGGGGGAGUGAGUGUAUGGCUGUGAUUAACCGUCUGCUGGGUAAAGCCACAACAGCUCAGUUUUUUGAAAGAUAGUCAAUUUUGCUGUCUUUGUUUUCUUUAUGCACAUUAUGUUAGAUAUAGAUAUACUGUAUAAAUCACUACAGAUGAGAAAUAUGAGCAUACCAAAGGUGAAUGUUGUAGUAGCAAAUUUCAAAAAUGCAGUUAUAAUUAAACUGAAGCAAACCAAUUAAUUGGCAGAUUUUACAGAAACAACCUCACCUCCACUUCAGUCACAACAGGAUAAAUUAUACAAACUGAAAUCAACUAAUAAUGGAGAAAGCCUGUGGUAUGAUAGAUAUCCAAAUGGCAAAUAGAGAUUAAAGAAUUUUUGUACCCUUUUCUUGGAUGAAGUAAAUUCUUCAAUCAAAUGUUAACUGUUUGUAGGAAAAAAACAAAAAACAAACAAAAAAAAACAGAUGAGUAUUUUAUAUACACACAUUUCUCAACUGAUUUAAAAUCUGCUACAUCAUAGCUGUUUCGUAACUGUCAUAAUACUGUAAGUGAAAUUUUAUAUUAAAUGACAAAGAUCCUGGAAAUCAUUAACACAACAGCUAUGACAAUAUCAAAAUAAAUACUAUUCUUUAUACUGAAAUUUAUGAAGCUGUGUUUCUGAAACAAUACUCAGAGAGCAUCUCUGUGCUCUAUCAGGGCUGUUGAUAAAGAAUGAACUAAAUCUACACUGAACUUCACCAUAAAGACUACGCUUCUUGCAAGAGCACAUGGGUAUCUCCUGUUCUGCAGCACACUGUUAGCUGCUGGUAAGAAAAACAUACCUCUGUAGAAAGUAGUCUAUUGUGAGUGAUUAGUCAUUUAAGUGUGUGGCCUUCUUUUUCUGAUUUUCAGUCUACAACAGUAAAGACUCUUGUUUUAGCACGAGUUCCACAUAAAUAACCUGUACUGUUUUUUUGUUGUUGUUGUUGUUGUUUUGUUUUGUUUUGUUUUUUUGCAUGGUAUUUUUCUCUUAGACCUUCAUUGUGUUACAUGCAUAUAUACACAAAAAAGUUUGCUACAGAGUUUUCUGUAGAGAUCACCACCAGCUGAGAAAGCAUUAGCCUUGUCACUGUCCAGAAUAUACUGUUGCAAAGAGAAACUGCACGUACUCUGGGUUUACUAAUUUAAAGUAAGCAUUAGCUAGUACUCUGAAUCAAAACAUCAUCAUAGAAUAUCACUCUUACUGUCCUCAUCCCAAUUAGUAUUUGAUUACACAUUUCUUUAUUCUAAUACAACAUUCUGCUCCAGUUCAAAUAAAUAAAUCAGACUUCCUUUUCAGUAAUUAACAAAUUGAAAAACAGCAAAUUGCAGCAAAAUGAUUUAUUUCUUUUAGUCAUUGCCCCCAAGAAAUUAUGAUCAAUUUACUGUCCACAGGAGAGCUUACUGUAACUGAAAAGUAUACCUGAGACAUGAAACACAUACAGAUUUUCUCAAAGAAGUUUUACGUCGUCAUGUUCCUCAUUCGUAUGACUUAACAAAAGAGACAGAGAGUCUCUAUGCACUCAAAUCCCUGAACUAUGCACACAAAUUCCUGAACCCCAAUGGGAUGCACCCACGAGUGCUCAGGGAGCUGAAAGAAGUGAUUGCAAAACUGCUCUCAUUUUUAAAGAUCAUGGAGAAUUGGAGGGGUGACUGAAGACUGGAGGAAAACCAAUGUCACUCCAGUCUUCAAAAAAGUGAAGGAGGAAUGAGGAAUCUACAGGCCAGUUAACCUCAACAUUAUCCCCGGGGAGAUGAUAGAACAGCUUAUUUUGAAUGUCAUCUCCAAGCAAGUGGAAGAAAAUAAGCUUACCAGGAGCAGUCAACAUGGAUUCACCAAAGGGAAAUCAUGCUUGACAAAUAUGGUAGCCUUCUAUGAUGUCAUGACUCACUGGGUAGAUGAGGGAAAAGCAGUGGAUAUUCAGCAAGUUUUUUUGUUUUGUUUUGUUUUUGUUUCUGUUUUUCAUAGAAGCAUAGAACAUCUUGAGUUAGAAAGGACCCGUAAGAAUUGUCAAGUCCAAGUCUGGGCUCCUCACAGAACCACCCAGAACUCAGACCAUAUGAUGCAUCUGGAACUCUGUCAGCUUGAGGCUGUGACCACUUCCAUGGGGAGCCUGUUUUUUAUCGGUGUCCUCGUACCAAUUCCUGUGACCUGAUAUCCAUGCCCUAGUAGCAGCAUGGAAUUUCAUAUGAUUAAGUAUAGUUUUAGAGUAAGUUUCAUGAACUUCUGAAAAUUGAUUCUGCUGAGAUUUAGAUAACAACAGUAAGCUUAUCUGGGAGGGGUGCAGUCUUCCUCUUCCAUGCUCUCAUAGUAUCUGGAAUAUGACACUGCUUCCAACAAUAUCCUCAUAGGUAAAUUUAGGAAGUGUGGGAUAGAUGAGUGGACAGUAAAGUGCACUGAGAUCAGUAAAGCUCUGAGUGUUGCAAUCAGUGCCCCAGAGCCUAGAUGGAGGCCUGUAGCUAGCAGUGUUUCCCAGGGGUUGGCACUGGGUCCAGUCUUGCAUAAUAGCUUCAUCAGAUGCCUGUCUGAAGGUAGAGAGUGCACCCUCAGCAAGUUAACUGAUCAUACAAAGCUGGGAGGAAUGGCACCUCCAGACAGGUGGCUGUUCAGUGAGACCUGAACAGCCCAGAGGGUUGGAUAGAGAGGAAGCUUAUGAGGUUCAACAAGAUCAAGUGUAGAGUCUUGCAUCUGGGGAGGAGUCAUUUCAUGAGUCUGUAAAGGUUAGAGGAUGGCCUGCUGGAAAGGAGCUCUGCAGAGAAGGACCUCGAUUCUUGUGGGCAACAGGUUUGCCAUGAGCCAGCAAUGCACCCUUGUGGCCAAGAAGGCCAAUAGUAUCCUGAGGUACAUUAAAGAGAACACGGCCAGCAGGUUGAGGCAUAUUCUCCAUCUGACCUAUUCUCUCCUUGCAAAGCCACAUCUGGAGUUGUGUGACAAGAUGUGGGCUCCUCAGUUCAAUAAAAACAUGGAACUUCUAGAGAGAAUCCAGCUGAGGGCCACAAAGAUGAUUAGGUGCCUGGAGCAUCUCCUUUAUAAGUAAAGGCUGAGAAACCUUUGAUUGUUCUGCCUGGGGGAGAGAAGAGUGAUGAGGGAUCUUAUCAAUGCUUAUAAAUAUCUAAGGGAUGGGUGUCAGAACAGUGUGGUCAGCUGCUUUUUGGUGGUUCCCAGAGACAGAAUAAAGGGCAGUGGGUACAAACUGCAACAGAGGAAGUUCCAAAUGAACUUCUUUACUUUGGAGGCUACAGAGAACUGGAAGAAGCUGCCCAAAGGAGUUGUGGAGUCCUUUUCUCUGGAGAUAUGCAAAACCCCCCUGGACACUUUCUUCUGCAACCUACUGUAGAGAACCUGCUUUAGCCAGGGGAUUGGACUAGACGUUCUCCAGAGGUCCCUUCCAAUCCCUAUGAUUCUCUGGUUCUGUGUUAGAUUCACCUUUAUCAGAUGUGUAUCACCAGUUUGAUGAUCUCUCAAACAAAAUCUGUCAAAUGACAACAUAAUUUACAGUGAUAACAUAUGAAAUACCUUGUGACCUCAAUUGGUUUUCUUUGACUAUAAGUUUAACUAGAAUUCAAAUAAACCACCAGGAAACUCUCGUAUCUUUUUAGAGAUUUACCUAUUGCAAAAAAAAAAAAAUGACCUCCUGCUCAACUGUUCUGAUAUAUGCAUAUUAGAGAGUGUCUUUAAGAUAUUUUGAAGACUAAAAAUAUGUAUAUUUACUGUAGAGUUUUUGUAUAUCUUUUUGUUAUUAUCAAAACAAUAAAAAAAUACACAUUCCCAUUUCCAGGUACAAUUUAGAAUAUAAAGCAAGAAAGAAACUAUGUAUUUGAGGAAAUUAAGUGUUAUACAGUACAGAAUCUGGUACAGAAUUGGCACUCUGCAGAAGUCAAGAAUAAUCUCAAAACAUCACAAAAAAAAAAAGAAAAGAAAAAAGAAAAAUAAUAUUUACAAAGUUUUUUGUUUACAGUUUUGCAGUUUAACUUGCGUGCUAAGAAGUAUCGAAUCUAUAGAAAAAAAACGUUUUUACUCUGACCUCUUUCUACAUUGUUUCUGGCUUGUUUGCUUUGUUUAUUUAAAGCACAUCAUACAGACAGCUGAAAGUAGAUCAGUAAACUGUGAAAUGUCUCUGACAGUAUAGUAGGAAGUUCAUUUGAUGUAAUAAGUUGGAGUUGAAAGGUGGUUUUAUAUUUUUUCCUGAAUAUGAACAACUAUUGCCAGUUGCAACUAUUGAGCAUAUGGCUAACCAUUUUUUAUGAAUUUAAUAUCUUUGAUCUGAGAAUAUAUUUCAUCUACAAGAGAAGAAAUCAGACAUAAACAUUAGCUGCAGAAAAAAAUGUGACAGCUUGGUUUAGGGUGGUAAAUAGAAAUUUAUUCUCACACACACACACACACACACACAAAAGAUAAAUAUAAAGCAAGAUGUGCAUCUCUCAAUAAUUUCUUAAGGAAGAAAACACCAUUCCAGUGAUAAAUGAAGUCUUGCUUGCUUAACUGUUGAAUACUAUCAGUUUGUAAAACAGAGAUAGGUAGUGAAGUCUGUGUACAAGACAUUCCUGAAAGCAUUGUUAUUUUACUCUGAACUAUAAAUGUUAAAGUCUUAAUUAAAGAGCUAUGAAAAAGGUGUGAUAUGCUGAAUUAGUUGAUGAAUUGCUUGUUUGAUUAAAGUAUAAUUAAACAGAUUUGUUUUUAUUUCAUAUUCCAUAAAUGAUAAAUGACUCUCAAACUAGUUCCAUAAUUAAGAUACACAUAUAGUAAGUGAAGAGAUUAAUGUUUAAUUAACUAAGGUCUUAACUAUAAUACUUGAGGCGAUAUUCAUUAAGGAAAAUCUACAGUAGUUAUGCUGGGCUGACAGUUUUUUUUUUUUAUGGAGCUUUUGUAUCAAAGAUAUUGUGUAUGAAGAACUAGGAUAAUUUCUGGAACAGCCACAGGGCUUUUUCUUCAAAGAGGUCAUUCAUAGGUAUAGAUUUUUACUUUUUAUAAAUUAUACAUCUGUGCUGAUGAAAAUUUACUGAUUCUAACACUGGGUACCUUAGAUAGCUCCUUGAUCAAAUUAAUCUUGACCAUGAUUAUAUAACUGAAAUAAGAUAAUAUUGAAUUCACUUUUUUUUUUGAGUAAAGGUGAAGAAAUGAUAAAUUCAGUAAGAAUUUUGAAAUUUGGUUUCAUCGUGGUUCAAAAUGAAACCUAAGCAUCAUUCUCUACAAAAGUAAUUUUUUUUUUUGUUGUACUGUAUGGAAACUGUUGAAUCACAGCUUGAACCACUGAUUGACCACCUGAGGCGAGCACUGAGUCAGCUGCAGGGGCACAGAUGAACACAAUUUCACCUGAGUCACCGGAAGGGAUCUGAAGCAGGACUGAAAGCAUAAGAUUUUGUUGCUGCUUUUUCCUGCCUUAUUCAGAGGCCUGAAACUAAAUCUGGAAUUUCUAGAUAUCAGCUUUUCAGUACUGACAGAACUCUAACUCAGUACUAGGAUAUAUUUUCUACCAGAGAAGAAGAACUACAUAUCCCAGAGGGCCUCACAGUCAGAGAAGGAAGAUACAUCAUGGAAGAUGCGUCAUCUGGUUCUGCACGGUCUUUUCGCUUUCGCUUGCUGCCAGGGAGAGGAGUGGGUGUACUUCCAAGCCGUGCGCCUUCAUCAAAAUAUCCUGUCACUGACCAAGAGAGAAGCUGCAUUCUGCAUACAUACUGCCUACCAUAAGAUUCACAGAACACUGCAAAACUGCAAUGAUAAAGAUGAACUUCACUAGAGUGAAAUGCAUAAUCAUAGAAUCACAGAAUCACCAAGAUGGAAAAAUAUCUCCAACAUCAUUUAGUUCACCUAUCACCAAUACUUCCUCACUAAACCAUGUCCUUCAGUAUAUCUAAAUGUUUCUUGAACAUCUCCAGGGUUGAUGACUUCUCCACCUCCCUGGGCAGCCCGUUCCAGUGCCUAACGACUCCUUCAGAGAAGAAGUAUUUCCUAAUAUCCCACCUGAAUCUCCCCUGGUGCAACUUGAGGCCAUUCCCUCUAGUCCAGUUGCUAGUCACAUGGGAGAAGAGUCCAACCCCCACUUCACUACAACCUCCCUUCAGGUAGCUGUAGAAAGCAAUCAGGUUUCCUAUGAUGCUCCUUUUCUCCAGACUGAACAAUCCCAAUUCCCUCAACUGCUUCUCAUAAGGCUCAUGCUCCAGACCCCUCACCAUCUUUGUUGCCCUUCUUUGAACACGCUCCAAGGCCUCAAUGUCUCUCUUACAGUGAGGGGCCCAAAACUGAACACAGUAUUCAAGGUGCAGCCUCACCAGUGCUGAAUACAGUCCUAUAAAGGACACAGAGGAGGUCUCAUCAAAGCAUAUAAACAUCUGAAGUGAGGAUGAAAUGAAGAUGGUGAUAGGAUCUUUUCAGUGGUGUCCAUUGACAAGACAAGAGGUAAUGAGCACAGACUGCUAAAGUGCUUUCCAACCUAAGCCAUUCUGUGCUUCUGUGAAAUACAAAAGAUACCAUCUAAACAUCAGGAAAUAGUACUGUGUGUGUGACAGAACACUGGAUCAGGUUAUAAGGAGAGGACAUGGAGUUUUCCUCCUUGGUGAUACUCAAAAGUCAUCCAAACAUGAUCCUGGGCAACUGGCUCUAACUGUUCUGAUUGCUGCAGAAUGCAAGGAUAACUGGAGGCAUUUCUGCUGUUAGAGUGGUGUCAGGAACAAGGAAAAUAAGUGAAAUGUCUCAAAGCUUGUCACAUUCUGGACUACUCCCAAGAUGAGGUGGCUCGGCCUUGUGUGAAGGCCCUGGCUUCUCCAGUGUUCAUUCUGACAACAGAUUCUUCAUGCUGAAGAAGAGUUUUCUGACAACAGACUCCUCAUGAAAAACAGGUUUCUGAAAGCAGAUUCCUCACGACCUGAGACCUGCAUACUGAAGAAGAACAAGAAGUUUUCUGACAUAAGAAGCCUCACAACCUGCCUCUCCCUCCUGGACUUGCUCUGCAUUCUACCUGCUUGCUUCCUAAGGUUGGCCUCUCUGCUGCUGCUCUCCCCCUGAGAAGGUGUCUGCCAUCAGAUCCCUCACUACGGAAGGUCUGCAUGCUGACAGACUCUCCAGGGCCUGUUAUGGGAGGCUUGCUGCUUCCUCCUGGACUUCUUCCUGGACCUACUCGGUACCUGCACCUUCUUGCUGCCCAAGACCAGCCAUGCUGCUGCUGCUCUUCCCCUGUGCUUUUGCCCCAGACCAUCAGAAUGUCAUGCAGUGGGACUGCUGCCAGAUCCUGGUGGUGACUAUCCCCACUUUACACAAUUCUUGCCUCUUUCUAUCUUUUCUAUCACCCGCCUUCCCUUCCCUAUCACCCUAAAUCAUCCGUCCUCCCCUUCCCCAUCUCCCUUAUUAAGAUUUGUAAUAAACUGGUCGGACCAACAUUUGAACCGUUGUUUCUUAAUCUCACGCCGGGUAUACAUAUAUCAAAGAACUUCCUCUCCCUCCUAUAAAUUGGAGCAAGACAGCAGGAUACCCUACCGUGAGAGUAUUACCUUCUUGGCAACACAGGAACAAUUUAGGAAAUAGAAUGAAUCAUUGGAAUUGUACAGCUAGAGGAGAUUAGGCCAUUCUUUGGAUGGCAUUAUUCAAGUAAAGUGGUAAUAGUUCAACAUAGGCUGAUUCUCUUAGAGGGGAGACUGAGUUGCAGAAAACUGAGGACACUUUAUUUCUGAAAGACAGUAUCCAGGGGCACAAAUGUACUUAUACUGCAAACCUGAACCAAGUGGAAACAAUAUGAAAUUUCGUAUUGAGAUGCUGUCUUUCUUUUGUUAAAAUACAGUCUGAGAUUUUGUUGUUACUUUUGUUGUACUAAUCAAGAAACACUUCAAAUGCAGAUCACGCAUUAAGUUUGACAAGCAAGGAAUUUUUUUCCAUCAUUUUAUGUUUCUUUUAAUUUCCCAAUCCAUGAAACAGGAGGAGAGAAGGUCUUUACCUGGUAUUUUAUGUGUGACUCAGUCUGAAGGUAAUGUCCAGAAAAGGUAGGUUAUGUUCAGAUAUAAGAAAAAAUUAUUGUCAUAAAAUUUCAGCAUCAAUUGUACAGAAUUCUGAAGUAACAAAUAGUACAAAGUUAGAUAGUCAGAACAUUUUUUUUUUCCUAAAUGAAUGUUAAUUUUCUAAGUAACAUUCAAAUGUAUUACAAUGGAUUUUUUCCCUUGAAUUGUUUGAUUAAUUUAAUUUGUACUGUUUACAUCUGAACAAAAAAAUAAAAUACAGCAGCAAAUCAGGUUAAAUGUGCUAUAUUUCAAAUAGAUGCAGAUUAACUUUUCUGAAUGAUUCGCUGACAUUAAAAAAUAAAAUGAUCAAUGCCAAAAUAAGACAAUUAUUUUAUUAUUUGGCAUAAUGUUGGUAAUACAAUCGUAAUCAAAAUAUCACAAAAUAGUUUAUUACAUAAUUACAGCGCAUUUUGUGUGUGUCUCCAUUCUUCCUCUAUGGGUGAAGUUUAAAUAUUCUAGAAAUGUGCCAAUUUUCAAACCACAGAAAAGUAAUUUCAUUUUUAUAUAGAAGUGUUAUUUUGCACUGAGGUUUUCUAAAACUGAUAUAAGAUAUUAUGUAAAUUAUAACAAGUUACAAAUCAAUGUAUUCAGAUGUAAUUUCCAUUCAAGAAAAAUGUGCAUCCCUUUUAAAUGUUAAGAAAGGCAUUUGAUGCCUCUGUGUACACAUAUCUCCUGCAGAUGCUUCACAGAGAAAUAUGGAGUGCUUCUUUGUUUUCUAUUUCAAAAGGCAGGAGACUAGAAAUAGAUUAAAGCAUGUGAUUUUCUUCUUUAUGGGACACUUUAAGUCAUUCUCUCUUCCUGAGCAACUUAAGAGAGUGUGGGGAAGGGAAGCAAGGCUGAACUUUUGCUUUGUUUUAACAACUUUUUUUUUUUUUUUUUUUUGCUUUGAUAGCUCUUUUGACAGUCUCUUCAUGACACAUACAGUUACCUAAGAGUGUAGAAAUUAUAAACUAAUAAUUUAUUUCUGUAUGUUGAGGAGAAGGAUUAAGACCAGAUAAUAUCUUAGUAUUCUAAGAUCAGUAACUUAAAUAGGCUGAUAUAAAUCAGGAACCUUUAAGAUACAAUUAAAAAAAAAAUCAGUUUAAAGAGAGCACUACAAGUGGAAGUUUGAGGGUAAUUCAUAUGAAAUUAUACAGGAAGAAAAGCUGUGCAUCUUAAAAGCUUGGAAAGAUUACAGCAUAAAUUUAGGAGUUCCUAUAAACAGGGACCAUAAGUUUCAAAUCUGUCUUUGACUAGAUCUCCAGAGGAAAAGACAGCUUCAGUAUGAUCAGAUUAGGCAAAUGUUGAGCAGUGUAGGUCAGUACUCAGAUAGUUGCAUUCUGUAUAAUUGCAUUGAUAAUGUUUGUUUAUAGCUGCACCUGAACAAUAGUUCCAAGGUAGAUGUGCAGGGAAAAUAUGCUUUUACUGUUUAUUUAUUAUAGAAUCAGAGAAUCAUUAAGUUUGGAAAAGACCUCUAAGAUCAUCUAAUAUGACCAUAUACCCAUCACCACCAUGUCCAUAUGUGUCAGAUGUAUGCCAUUCUAAAAUCUUAAGGGGUGGUGACUCAGCUUGUUCCAAUAUAUCACCUUUAUUUCUCAAUUUUUUUUUUCCUGACUUCCAACCUGAAUCUCCCCCGGCACAAUUUCAGACCAUUCCCUCUUGUCCUAUUGCUAGCUGCACAGGAGAAGAGGCUGACCCUCACCUCACUACAACCUCCUUUCAGAGAUUUUAGAGAGCUAGUAGGUCUCAUGAGCCUCCUUUUCUCCAGUCUAAACAAUCCCAGUUCCCUCAGCCUCUCCUCAUAAGGCCUGUGCUUCAAAACCUUCACCAGCUUCAUCAUCCUUCUUUGGGCAUUGUUUCUUCUUCAGAGCUCUGCCAGUAAGGCAGUGUUAUAACACAGGACUGUCCCUUGACAUUAACCAAGAAUCCUAGAUGAACUGAGAUAUUAAAAUCGUGGAUGAUUGAUGCUUACCCAGAAUCCUCACAAAGGACUGCCCUUGAGAUAAACAGAGAGCUUAAGGUAUUCAGCUAAUAAAAGCACAGUGCUUAUGGCAUCAGUUUAGCAAACUGAGAGCCAGGAAACGCUAAAGCUUAUAACUGAGAUUUGGCAAGCUAUUUACAUCAAACAAAAAACCUCCUAGUGGUCCACCCACAGUGCGAUCUGAUAGUAUCUUGUGCACUGACAUCUGUUCAGCAAGUUGGAAUUACUGAAAUUCUGGCAAAACAAAUGUUGGAGCUGUUAUGGUAAACAAGCAAGCUAGAGAUUCUGAGCCAAUAAUCCCUCCUAAGCUUGAUUGCUGUUGGGUUUUGGCAUAAUAACAAUGCAGACAACUUGAUUUUGAUAAUAUCAUUACAAAAUCAGUGCCAUUUUUUUCUAUUCUCCUUUCCAUGUCUAUUUGAAGUUGAUAACAUAAUUUAUAGUUAAUUUUUCAAAAACUC